rnacentral:rRNA from 1 species
GACGAACGCUGGCGGCGUGCCUAAUACAUGCAAGUAGGACGCAGUUGCGAACGGGUGAGUAACGCGUAGGUAACUACCUAUUAGAGGGGGAUAACUAUUGGAAACGAUAGCUAAUACCGCAUACUAGUAGAUGGACCUUCGUUGUAUUAGCUAGUAGGUAGGGUAAUGGCCUACCUAGGCAACGAUACAUAGCCGACCUGGCAGGGUGAUCGGCCAACCCUGGACUGGGACACGGCCCAGACUCCCACGGGAGGCAGCAGGAGGGAAUCAUCGGCAAUGGGGGGAACCCUGGCCGAGCCACGCCGCGUGAGUGAAGAAGGUUUUCGGAUUGUUAAGCUCUGUUGUGAAGGAAGCGGUACUUAACCAGAAAGGGACGGCUAACUCCGUGCCAGCCGCCGCGGUAAUAC